rnacentral:rRNA from 1 species
GAUGAACGCUGGCGGCGUGCUUAACACAUGCAAGUCGAGCGAACAGACGAGGAGCUUGCUCCUUUGACGUUAGCGGCGGACGGGUGAGUAACACGUGGAUAACCUACCUAUAAGACUGGGAUAACUUCGGGAAACCGGAGCUAAUACCGGAUAAUAUAUUGAACCGCAUGGUUCAAUAGUGAAAGACGGUUUUGCUGUCACUUAUAGAUGGAUCCGCGCCGCAUUAGCUAGUUGGUAAGGUAACGGCUUACCAAGGCAACGAUGCGUAGCCGACCUGAGAGGGUGAUCGGCCACCAUGGAACGGAGACAGGGACCAGAAUCCUACGGGAGGCAGCAGUAGGGAAUCUUCCGCAAUGGGCGAAAGCCUGACGGAGCAAGGCGGCGUGAGUGAUGAAGGUCUUCGGAGCGUAAAGCUCUGUUAUUGGGGAGGAACAAAUGUGUAAGUAGAUAUACCCGUCUUGACGGUACCUGAUCAAAAAGCAACGGCUAACUACGUG